UUGGAGGGCAAGUCUGGUGCCAGCAGCCGCGGUAAUUCCAGCUCCAAUAGCGUAUAUUAAAGUUGUUGCAGUUAAAAAGCUCGUAGUUGAAUUUCGGGAUCAGCAAGUUGGUCGUGCCUCUGGUACGUACUGGCUUUACUGGUUCCUCCUUCUUGAAGAACUGUAACGUCAUCAAUUUGGUGUUGCAGGGAAACAGGACUGUUACUUUGAAAAAAUUAGAGUGUUUAAAGCAAGCUAACGCUUGAAUACAUUAGCAUGGAAUAAUGAAAUAGGACGUUUGAUCCUAUUUUGUUGGUUUCUAGGAUUGACGUAAUGAUUAAUAGGGAUAGUUGGGGGCAUUAGUAUUUAAUUGUCAGAGGUGAAAUUCUUGGAUUUAUUGAAGACUAACUACUGCGAAAGCAUUUGCCAAGGAUGUUUUCAUUAAUCAAGAACGAAAGUUAGGGGAUCGAAGACGAUCAGAUACCGUCGUAGUCUUAACCAUAAACUAUGCCGACUAGGGAUCGGAUGAUGUUAAUUUUUUAAUGACUCAUUCGGCGCCUUACGGGAAAC
rnacentral:rRNA from 1 species